rnacentral:rRNA from 1 species
UGGGGAAUUUUGGACAAUGGGCGAAAGCCUGAUCCAGCAAUGCCGCGUGUGUGAAGAAGGCCUUCGGGUUGUAAAGCACUUUUGUCCGGAAAGAAAUCCUUGGCUCUAAUACAGUCGGGGGAUGACGGUACCGGAAGAAUAAGCACCGGCUAACUACGUGCCAGCAGCCGCGGUAAUACGUAGGGUGCAAGCGUUAAUCGGAAUUACUGGGCGUAGAGCGUGCGCAGGCGGUUUGCUAAGACCGAUGUGAAAUCCCCGGGCUCAACCUGGGAACUGCAUUGGUGACUGGCAGGCUAGAGUAUGGCAGAGGGGGGUAGAAUUCCACGUGUAGCAGUGAAAUGCGUAGAGAUGUGGAGGAAUACCGAUGGCGAAGGCAGCCCCCUGGGCCAAUACUGACGCUCAUGCACGAAAGCGUGGGGAGCAAACAGGAUUAGAUACCCUGGUAGUCCACGCCCUAAACGAUGUCAACUAGUUGUUGGGGAUUCAUUUCCUUAGUAACGUAGCUAACGCGUGAAGUUGACCGCCUGGGGAGUACGGUCGCAAGAUU